CUAUUUCUGAUCUCUUUCAUGGU
rnacentral:piRNA from 1 species